UACGUAGGGUCCGAGCGUUGUCCGGAAUUAUUGGGCGUAAAGAGCUCGUAGGCGGUUUGUCGCGUCUGCUGUGAAAUCCCGAGGCUCAACCUCGGGUCUGCAGUGGGUACGGGCAGACUAGAGUGCUGUAGGGGAGACUGGAAUUCCUGGUGUAGCGGUGAAAUGCGCAGAUAUCAGGAGGAACACCGAUGGCGAAGGCAGGUCUCUGGGCAUUAACUGACGCUGAGGAGCGAAAGCAUGGGGAGCGAACAGG
rnacentral:rRNA from 1 species